rnacentral:rRNA from 1 species
GGGUUGUGAGGUUAAGCGACCAAGCGUACACGGUGGAUGCCCUGGCAGUCAGAGGCGAUGAAGGACGUGCUAAUCUGCGAUAAGCGCCGGUAAGGUGAUAUGAACCGUUAUAACCGGCGAUUUCCGAAUGGGGAAACCCAGUGUGACUCGUCACACUAUCAUUAACUGAAUCCAUAGGUUAAUGAGGCGAACCGGGGGAACUGAAACAUCUAAGUACCCCGAGGAAAAGAAAUCAACCGAGAUUCCCCCAGUAGCGGCGAGCGAACGGGGAGGAGCCCAGAGCCUGAAUCAGCAUGUGUGUUAGUGGAAGCGUCUGGAAAGGCGCGCGAUACAGGGUGACAGCCCCGUACACAAAAGCGCAUAUGCUGUGAGCUCGAUGAGUAGGGCGGGACACGUGGUAUCCUGUCUGAAUAUGGGGGGACCAUCCUCCAAGGCUAAAUACUCCUGACUGACCGAUAGUGAACCAGUACCGUGAGGGAAAGGCGAAAAGAACCCCGGCGAGGGGAGUGAAACAGAACCUGAAACCGUGUACGUACAAGCAGUGGGAGCACAGGUUUACCUGUGUGACUGCGUACCUUUUGUAUAAUGGGUCAGCGACUUAUAUUCUGUAGCAAGGUUAACCGCAUAGGGGAGCCGAAGGGAAACCGAGUCUUAAUUGGGCGUUAAGUUGCAGGGUAUAGACCCGAAACCCGGUGAUCUAGCCAUGGGCAGGUUGAAGGUUGGGUAACACUAACUGGAGGACCGAACCGACUAAUGUUGAAAAAUUAGCGGAUGACCUGUGGCUGGGGGUGAAAGGCCAAUCAAACCGGGAGAUAGCUGGUUCUCCCCGAAAGCUAUUUAGGUAGCGCCUCGUGAAUUCAUCUUCGGGGGUAGAGCACUGUUUCGGCUAGGGGGUCAUCCCGGCUUACCAACCCGAUGCAAACUGCGAAUACCGAAGAAUGUUAUCACGGGAGACACACGGCGGGUGCUAACGUCCGUCGUGAAGAGGGAAACAACCCAGACCGCCAGCUAAGGUCCCAAAGUCAUGGUUAAGUGGGAAACGAUGUGGGAAGGCCCAGACAGCCAGGAUGUUGGCUUAGAAGCAGCCAUCAUUUAAAGAAAGCGUAAUAGCUCACUGGUCGAGUCGGCCUGCGCGGAAGAUGUAACGGGGCUAAACCAUGCACCGAAGCUGCGGCAGCGACACUGUGUGUUGUUGGGUAGGGGAGCGUUCUGUAAGCCGUUGAAGGUGUGUCGUGAGGCAUGCUGGAGGUAUCAGAAGUGCGAAUGCUGACAUAAGUAACGAUAAAGCGGGUGAAAAGCCCGCUCGCCGGAAGACCAAGGGUUCCUGUCCAACGUUAAUCGGGGCAGGGUGAGUCGACCCCUAAGGCGAGGCCGAAAGGCGUAGUCGAUGGGAAACGGGUUAAUAUUCCCGUACUUGGUGUUACUGCGAAGGGGGGACGGAGAAGGCUAUGUUGGCCGGGCGACGGUUGUCCCGGUUUAAGCGUGCAGGUGUGUGUUCCAGGUAAAUCCGGUUCACUUUAACACUGAGGCGUGACGACGAGGCACCACGGUGCUGAAGCAACAAAUGCCCUGCUUCCAGGAAAAGCCUCUAAGCAUCAGGUAACAUCAAAUCGUACCCCAAACCGACACAGGUGGUCAGGUAGAGAAUACCAAGGCGCUUGAGAGAACUCGGGUGAAGGAACUAGGCAAAAUGGUGCCGUAACUUCGGGAGAAGGCACGCUGACAUGUAGGUGAAGUGGUUUACCCAUGGAGCUGAAGUCAGUCGAAGAUACCAGCUGGCUGCAACUGUUUAUUAAAAACACAGCACUGUGCAAACACGAAAGUGGACGUAUACGGUGUGACGCCUGCCCGGUGCCGGAAGGUUAAUUGAUGGGGUCAGCGCAAGCGAAGCUCCUGAUCGAAGCCCCGGUAAACGGCGGCCGUAACUAUAACGGUCCUAAGGUAGCGAAAUUCCUUGUCGGGUAAGUUCCGACCUGCACGAAUGGCGUAAUGAUGGCCAGGCUGUCUCCACCCGAGACUCAGUGAAAUUGAACUCGCUGUGAAGAUGCAGUGUACCCGCGGCAAGACGGAAAGACCCCGUGAACCUUUACUAUAGCUUGACACUGAACAUUGAGCCUUGAUGUGUAGGAUAGGUGGGAGGCUUUGAAGCGUGGACGCCAGUCUGCGUGGAGCCGACCUUGAAAUACCACCCUUUAAUGUUUGAUGUUCUAACGUGGACCCGUAAUCCGGGUUGCGGACAGUGUCUGGUGGGUAGUUUGACUGGGGCGGUCUCCUCCUAAAGAGUAACGGAGGAGCACGAAGGUUGGCUAAUCCUGGUCGGACAUCAGGAGGUUAGUGCAAUGGCAUAAGCCAGCUUGACUGCGAGCGUGACGGCGCGAGCAGGUGCGAAAGCAGGUCAUAGUGAUCCGGUGGUUCUGAAUGGAAGGGCCAUCGCUCAACGGAUAAAAGGUACUCCGGGGAUAACAGGCUGAUACCGCCCAAGAGUUCAUAUCGACGGCGGUGUUUGGCACCUCGAUGUCGGCUCAUCACAUCCUGGGGCUGAAGUAGGUCCCAAGGGUAUGGCUGUUCGCCAUUUAAAGUGGUACGCGAGCUGGGUUUAGAACGUCGUGAGACAGUUCGGUCCCUAUCUGCCGUGGGCGCUGGAGAACUGAGGGGGGCUGCUCCUAGUACGAGAGGACCGGAGUGGACGCAUCACUGGUGUUCGGGUUGUCAUGCCAAUGGCACUGCCCGGUAGCUAAAUGCGGAAGAGAUAAGUGCUGAAAGCAUCUAAGCACGAAACUUGCCCCGAGAUGAGUUCUCCCUGAGACUUUAAGUCUCCUGAAGGAACGUUGAAGACGACGACGUUGAUAGGCCGGGUGUGUAAGCGCAGCGAUGCGUUGAGCUAACCGGUACUAAUGAACCGUGAGGCUUAACCUUACAACGCCGAAGCUGUU